AUUGAACGCCGGCGGAAUGCUUUACACAUGCAAGUCGAGCGGCAGCGCGGGGGCAACCCUGGCGGCGAGCGGCGAACGGGUGAGUAACAUAUCGGAACGUACCCAGUCGUGGGGGAUAACUAUCCGAAAGGAUAGCUAAUACCGCAUACGUCCUGAGGGAGAAAGCGGGGGAUCGCAAGACCUCGCGCGAUUGGAGCGGCCGAUAUCGGAUUAGCUAGUUGGUGGGGUAAAGGCUCACCAAGGCGACGAUCCGUAGCGGGUCUGAGAGGACGACCCGCCACACUGGAACUGAGACACGGUCCAGACUCCUACGGGAGGCAGCAGUGGGGAAUUUUGGACAAUGGGGGCAACCCUGAUCCAGCCAUUCCGCGUGAGUGAAGAAGGCCUCGGUUGUAAGACGUCUUCUAGGUGGUAAGAAAGACGGAUGGGUUAAGUACC
rnacentral:rRNA from 1 species